rnacentral:rRNA from 1 species
CUUCGGGGGACGUUAACGGCGUCGAGCGGCGGACGGGUGAGUAAUGCCUAGGAAAUUGCCCUGAUGUGGGGGAUAACCAUUGGAAACGAUGGCUAAUACCGCAUGAUGCCUACGGGCCAAAGAGGGGGACCUUCGGGCCUCUCGCGUCAGGAUAUGCCUAGGUGGGAUUAGCUAGUUGGUGAGGUAAGGGCUCCCCAAGGCGACAAUCCCUAGCUGGUCUGAGAGGAGAUCAGCCACACUGGGAACUGAAACCCGGUCCAGACUCCUACGGGAAGGCAGCAGUGGGGGAAUAUUGCCCAAUGGGCGCAAGC